CCUACGGGAGGCAGCAGUGAGGAAUAUUGGUCAAUGGACGAGAGUCUGAACCAGCCAAGUAGCGUGAAGGAUGACUGCCCUAUGGGUUGUAAACUUCUUUUAUAAAGGAAUAAAACGAGGCACGUGUGCCUUUUUGCAUGUACUUUAUGAAUAAGGAUCGGCUAACUCCGUGCCAGCAGCCGCGUUAAUACGGAGGAGCCGAGCGUUAUCCGGAUUUAUUGGGGUUAAAGGGUGCGUAGAUGGGUUGUUAAGUCAGUUGUGAAAGUUUGCGGCUCAAACGUAAAAUUGAAAUUGAUACUGGGAGUCUUGAGUACAGUUGAGGUAGGCGGAAUUCGUGGUGUAGCGGUGAAAUGCUUAGAUAUCACGAAGAACCCCGAUUGCGAAGGCAGCUUACUAAACUGUGACUGACAUUGAUGCUCGAAAGUGUGGGUAUCAAACAGGAUUAGAUACCCUUGUAGUC
rnacentral:rRNA from 1 species